UACAGAGGGGGCAAGCGUUGUUCGGAAUUACUGGGCGUAAAGGGCGCGUAGGCGGCCUGCUAAGUCGAACGUGAAAUCCCUGGGCUCAACCCAGGAACUGCGUCCGAUACUGGUUGGCUUGAAUCCGGGAGAGGGAUGUGGAAUUCCAGGUGUAGCGGUGAAAUGCGUAGAUAUCGGGAGGAACACCAGUGGCGAAGGCGACUACCUGGCCUGUUCUUGACGCUGAGGCGCGAAAGCUAGGGGAGCAAACGGG
rnacentral:rRNA from 1 species